CGGCGACCGGCAAACGGGUGCGGAACACGUACACAACCUUCCUUCAAAUGGGGAAUAGCCCAGGGAAACUUGGAUUAAUACCCCGUAACAUUAUGAAGUGGCAUCACUUUAUAAUUAUAGCUCCGGCGUUUGGAGAUGGGUGUGCGGCUGAUUAGGUAGUUGGCGGGGUAACGGCCCACCAAGCCUUCGAUCAGUAACUGGUGUGAGAGCACGACCAGUCACACGGGCACUGAGACACGGGCCCG
rnacentral:rRNA from 1 species